UACAGAGGUCCCAAGCGUUGUUCGGAUUCACUGGGCGUAAAGGGUGCGUAGGUGGCCAGGUAAGUUUGGUGUGAAAGCUCGGAGCUUAACUCCGAAAAGUCAUUGAAUACUACCUGGCUGGAGGGUCGGAGGGGAGACUGGAAUUCCUGGUGUAGCGGUGAAAUGCGCAGAUAUCAGGAGGAACACCGGUGGCGAAGGCGGGUCUCUGGGCCGAUACUGACGCUGAGGAGCGAAAGCGUGGGGAGCGAACAGG
rnacentral:rRNA from 1 species